rnacentral:tRNA from 1 species
GCCUGGGUGGCUCAGUUGGACUGAGCAUCUGACUUCGGAUCAGGUCAUGAUCUCGCAGUUCGUGAGUUCGAGCCCCUCAUCUGGCU